GCCUGGCCCUAAAUCUUGAUGCUCGAUCUUACCGGAGCAUCCGCCCGAGAACUACGAGCACAAACGCUUAAAACUCUAAGGACUUGGCGGUGUUCCAAACCCACCUAGAGGAGCCUGUUCUGUAAUCGAUGAUCCACGAUAUACCUGACCAUUCCUUGCCAGAACAGCCUAUAUACCGCCGUCGCCAGCCCACCCCGCAUGAAGGUUCAACAGUGGACGCAAUAGCCCCCCCCGCUAAUAAGACAGGUCAAGGUAUAGCCUAUGGAAUGGAAGCAAUGGGCUACAUUUUCUAGAUUAGAACAAACGGCAAAGGGACAUGAAACGGUCCCUGGAAGGCGGAUUUAGCAGUAAAGUGGGACAAUCGAGCCCUCUUUAAGCCGGCCCUGGAGCACGU
rnacentral:rRNA from 1 species